CCUACGGGAGGCAGCAGUGGGGAAUAUUGCACAAUGGGGGAAACCCUGAUGCAGCGACGCCGCGUGAGUGAAGAAGUAUUUCGGUAUGUAAAGCUCUAUCAGCAGGGAAGAAAUAGCGACCUUUGGGUCGCCAGACGGUACCUGACUAGAAAGCCCCGGCUAACUACGUGCCAGCAGCCGCGGGAAUACGUAGGGGGCAAGCGUUAUCCGGAUUUACUGGGUGUAAAGGGAGAGUAGACGGCAGCACAAGUCUGAAGUGAAAUGCCGGGGCUUAACCCCGGAACUGCUUUGGAAACUGUGCAGCUAGAGUGCAGGAGAGGUAAGUGGAAGUCGUAGUCUAGCGGUGAAAUGCGUAGAUAUUAGGAAGAACACCAGUGGCGAAGGCGGCUUACUGGACUGUAACUGACGUUGAGGCUCGAAAGCGUGGGGAGCAAACAGGAUUAGAUACCCCAGUAGUC
rnacentral:rRNA from 1 species